AUGGCUCCUCCUUUCCCCUCGCCGUCUCUGGUCUCCACCACCUCGAUCCCGACGCUCCGCAUCGUCUCGCCGGUGCCGUCUUCCCGCUGGUGCCGCCGUGCCGGGCCGUUGGCCUCCGCUGGGCUGGGGGGAGCCGCGCGCAGAGACCGGCGCCGGAGCCGGAGUAGGCGGGGACGGAGGGUCCUGAGGAUCUGUGCCUACACGGCGGAAGCUGAACACGGGAGGUGGGAGGAGGAUGUGGCCGACGAUUUCUACUCUGUUCUUGGCGUCAUGCCAGAUGCAACCUCCGAGGAAAUCAAGAAGGCGUACUACAGCUGCAUGAAAACGUGCCACCCAGACCUCAGUGGAGGUGACCCUGAUGUGACCAACUUCUCCAUGUUCAUCAACGAGGUUUACACGGUGCUGAGCGACCCGGUGCAGCGUGCGGUGUAUGAUGAGAUCCAUGGGUACACGGCAACGGCGACAAACCCUUUCGUUGAUGACAGUGCAGUCAAGAACCAUGUGUUCGUCGAUGAGUUUACCUGCAUAGGAUGCAGAAUUUGCGCCAACGUGUGCCCCAGUGUCUUUGAAAUUGAGGAAGACUUUGGGAGGGCAAGAGUCUGCUCCCAGAGGGGUAACCCAGAGCUCAUUCAGGAUGCCAUUGAUAGUUGCCCAGUUGACUGUAUUCACUGGACUUCUGCUGCACAACUUUCACUCCUUGAGAGUGAAACACGAAGAAUAGAAAGGGUCAAUGUUGGGCUGAUGAAUGCUGGAAUGGGAGUUUCAGUCAACAUUUUUCGAGUGGCAAGUGCGAGUUGGGAAAAGCGACAAGAAAAAGUCUUGGAAAAAAUCAGAACACAUAUGAUGAACCAAAAUAGUUCAGACAUGGCUAGCCCUUGGAGUGAUAUCUGGGGAUCUCCAACGCGAUACCAAAACACUGAAGAUGAAGAAGCAUCAGAGAGAGCGAACAGAGCGGCAGCAGCUGCUAGGCGAUGGAGAGAAUACUCAAGGAAAGGUGCCGACAGGCCUCCGAGAUACAAACUUCCAGAUGCAGUAGGCAAUAAGGAGUAG
rnacentral:rRNA from 1 species